AAACUCUGGAGAAUCCCUUUUUUGGGUGCCGAAGGUGCAAGAUCGUUUCGAUCGAAUCUCUCAGGCCAAAGGACAGAGCGA
rnacentral:ncRNA from 1 species